GACGAACGCUGGCGGCGUGCUUAACACAUGCAAGUCGAACGGAAAGGCCCUGCUUGCCGGGUACUCGAGUGGCGAACGGGUGAGUAACACGUGGGUGAUCUGCCCUUCACUUCGGGAUAAGCCUGGGAAACUGGGUCUAAUACCGGAUAGGAGCCAUUUUUAGUGUGAUGGUUGGAAAGUUUUUUUCGGUGUAGGAUGAGCUCGCGGCCUAUCAGCUUGUUGGUGGGGUAAUGGCCUACCAAGGCGGCGACGGGUAGCCGGCCUGAGAGGGUGGACGGCCACAUUGGGACUGAGAUACGGCCCAGACUCCUACGGGAGGCAGCAGUGGGGAAUAUUGCACAAUGGGCGCAAGCCUGAUGCAGCGACGCCGCGUGGGGGAUGACGGCCUUCGGGUUGUAAACUCCUUUCGCUAGGGACGAAGCUUUUUGUGACGGUACCUAGAUAAGAAGCACCGGCUAACUACGUG
rnacentral:rRNA from 1 species